UACAGAGGUCUCAAGCGUUGUUCGGAUUCAUUGAGCGUAAAGGGUGCGUAGGUGGCGCCGUAAGUCAGGUGUGAAAUUUCGGAGCUUAACUCCGAAACUGCAUUUGAUACUGCGGUGCUUGAGGACUGGAGAGGAGACUGGAAUUACGGUGUAGCAGUGAAAUGCGUAGAGAUCGUAAGGAAGACCAGUGGCGAAGGCGGGUCUCUGGAC
rnacentral:rRNA from 1 species